rnacentral:lncRNA from 1 species
UGUGUGUCCCACGUGUGUGUCACGUGUGUGUGUGUGUCAGGGGUGUGUGUGUCACACACGUGUGUGUGCCAGGGGUGUGUGCCACACGUGUGUCGUAUGUGCAUGUGUCACGCGCGUGUCACAUGUCUGCGUGCCAGGUGUGUGCGUGUCAUACGUGCAGGUGUCAAAUGUGUGUGUUGCAUCUGUGUCACACGCGCGUUUCACAUGUCUCUGUGUGUCAGACAUGUGCGCUGCGUGUGCCGUGCCCCUGUGAGUGUAUUGCACUACGCGUGCUGUGCCGCACCGUACGGCGCAGUGCUACUACACGUGCUGUGCUGCGUGCCGUGCGUGCUCUGCUGGGUGUGCUGUGCCACGUGUGUGCUGUGCCACGUGUGUGCUGUGCCACGUGGGGCCAUGAAUGCCACCACGCGUGCCACGUGUGCAGCAACACAUGUGUCAUGCCACACGUGUUGUGUGUGCCCUGCCUGUCAUGUGUGCCAUGUGAGCUGUGCCGCGUGUGCCGUGUGCCGUGUGCCGUGCCACCACCCGCAUGCGGUGCCGUGUGAGCUGUGCCUCAUGUGCCGUGACACCGUGCGCAUGCUGAGCUGCGUGCCGUGUGCCGUGUGCCAGGUGCUGUGCGCGUGCCACGCACCACGUGCCGUGCACCGUGCACAUGCCGUGUGCCUGCAUGUGCUGCACGUGUGGGCCGCGGGCCGUGUGCCAUGCACCGUGCGUGUGCCACGCGCCGUGUGCCGUGCAGCGUGUGCGUGCUGUGUGCUGCGUGCCAGGCACCGUGUGCCGUGUGCUGUGCGUGUGCCACGCGUCAUGCGUGUGCUGUGUGUGUGCCGCAUGCCGUGCGCCGUGUGCCAUGCGUGUGCUGCGUGCCGUGUGCCAUGCACCGUGCGUGGGCCAUGUGCUGUCCGUGUGCCGUGUGCCACGCACCGUGCAUGUGCCACGUGCCACACGCGGUGCACGCCCCCGGCACGCGCUGACCGCGUCCCCCCCAGCUGCCGGCGAUGCUGCGGGUGCGGGACCCGCGGCCGUGGGUGCUGUUCGCGCUGCACAACGCGGGGCUGCUGGGCGGCUGGGGGCUGCUGCUGCUGCUGGCGCUCUACGAGGAGAGCAUCGCGCUCUGACACCGCGGCACCGGCACGGGCACGGACCCACGGACACGGACCCACGGACGGACCCACGGACAGAGCCACGGACACACGGAUGCCCCCCCCCCAUGCUCCCCCCCCCAGGGUGGGCGAAGGNNNNNNNNNNNNNNNNNNNNNNNNNNNN